UACGUAGGGUGCAAGCGUUAAUCGGAAUUACUGGGCGUAAAGCGUGCGCAGGCGGUUUUGUAAGUCUGACGUGAAAUCCCCGGGCUUAACCUGGGAAUUGCGUUGGAGACUGCAAGGCUAGAAUCUGGCAGAGGGGGGUAGAAUUCCACGUGUAGCAGUGAAAUGCGUAGAGAUGUGGAGGAACACCGGUGGCGAAGGCGGCAUCCUGGACCGGCAUUGACGCUGAACAGCGAAAGCUAGGGGAGCAAACGGG
rnacentral:rRNA from 1 species